GCGGCUGUGGUGUAGUGGUAACACACCAGCUAUCCAAGCUUGAAAUGGGAGUUCGAUUCUCUCCAGCCGCU
rnacentral:tRNA from 1 species